AUGUACGCCAUGAUGACUUCCAAUAAUAAGCAGAAAAGAAAUAAGGCGCCGAGUCCCGAGCUGCCGGACGAGCUUGUUUUAGAGGUUAUGACCCGACUGCCCGUCAAGUCUCUCAUGCGUUUCAAGUGCGUCAGCAAGGCCUGGCGCACAACAAUAUCCGACCCCUCCUUCGUCCGGUCGCACCUCAAGAUAUCCGCCUGCAGAUGGGAGCAGAACCCAUCUUUCCUCAUCGCCCCGCACACCCUGGACCGCGACAUCCAAGGCACUAUUUUCCCCGGAAACAUCGGGUUCUACCAGUGGCAGCAAGGCGUCUCCGAGGCUCGUCUCGUGCACGACAGGGACUUAUUCCGCUUGGCUCGCUUCUUCUCCCACUGUGACGGCCUGGUGCUUGUCCCCACGGGCACCAAGGUGUUCCUCUUCAACCCGGCCACUAGGGACGUCCUCACACUUCCGGAGAGCAGUCGCAACAAGGUGCCCAGCUUCAUCCACCACCCCAUUGGGUUCGGCCGUGAUCCUCGCACUGGCAUGUACAAGGUAGUCCGGUCCUUAUUCGGUUCGACAGAUUGUAAAACUGGGAUCGUCAGCAUGGGCAUGGAGGUCUGUACCGUGGGCGGCCCUGCUCCUCCCCAGUGGAGGGAAAUCGCGGGGGAUCAGCCGUACGCCCCCGUGUCAUCAGUGCCCGCGCAAUCUGUCAAGGGGGGUGUGUACUGGAUAGUCGAUGAUACCAACUUCGAGCCGCGCCCACGUGGCCUCCUACGCUUUGACUUGGUCGACGAGGCAUUCAACUUCAUCAGUUUGCCUUCUGAUCUGUCGGACCUCGGAGAUGACGACAAUGACGAUGAUGGUGACAAUGAACACUUCAACUUGAGUGUGUUGCACGGGGAGUUGUCUCUAACAGGCUAUCGCGUCAAGGAGCCUAACGACGUGCAUCGGCUGGUGGUGGUCUGGGUGCUCAUGGAAGACGGGGCAAGCUCUGUGUGGGAACCACGUUACACGUUGUAUGUCAUGGACCCCUGCCACCCAAUCGCUUUUCUUCCGGGCACUUUGAUGCUACGGUUCAAUCGCAAGCUCUGCCUCUAUGAUCUGCAGUCACGUGAGCUGACAAAUGCUUGUGAGUUUAUCAGGAUGAGAUACCGGCGUCAUGGGUCAGCCGAACUUGUGCCUGCUUGGAAGCAUGUGUACUUCUGCAACGUCAUACCCUACAUGGAAAGUCUUGUUCCAGUCGGUGCUCACAUGGCCUGA
rnacentral:rRNA from 1 species